rnacentral:lncRNA from 1 species
ACUUCUCCUCGUUUUCUCCGUGAAAAACUUGGCGACGUCGAGAUUUUGGUGGCGAAUCUCUCCGACUUCGUCGACAUCGUUCGAAGGCCAACACUAGAGGAUCGAGACGCGGAGAUAAGCCAUCUUCUUUUCCCUGUUUCUCUUGGUUUUUUUUUGCGAAAUCAAUCCGUUCUGAUUGAUCUGUUCGGGUUUUCGAUUCUAUCUUCAUCUGUUCGGGUUUUCGAUUCUUCUUCUGAAUUGGUUAGAGAUUGAAUUAUAUGAUUAUUUGAUUUAUGGGUUUCACUCGGUUUGAUAAUUUAGGGUUUUCGAUUUCAGGAUCGAAACAGUUUGAUUAUUUGAUGUGAGGUGAUUUGAUUCGUGGUUUCGAUUAGUGGGUUUGGUAUAGGGUAUACUAUAGGGUUCUGAUCGAUGGUUUAGGGUUCAUCUCUUAUGAAUUCAAUUGUUUGUUAGAUAUAUACCAUUCUCUUACUUAAUCGGUGUUGUAGAAAUAUGGUGUUGUGUUUGUGUAAGUGACAAUAAGACAAUGUUUGAGAUUGGGAUUGUUUUAUUUGAUUCAGAUUGGUUGUUUGUUUGUUAACCUUCUCUGGUUUAGGAUAUGCAUCAAUCGGGUACAUUAUUUGGAACUAAACUUGGUUUCUGAUUUUCUUUCAAUGCAGCUUAAAGGCUAUAUAUCUAAAUUGGCGAGACAGGUGAAGCAAUCCUUGAGCAUUAAAGCAGAAGACAGAAGUAAUUCCUGGUAAGCAAUCUUCAAACCAUAUUAAUUGUCUUUAGCAUAAAAAUGGAACUUUGUAGUUGGUAAUGUAAUAAAGGCUUGUUCAUUUUAGGGAGAUUUGUAGUUGGUAAUAAUAUUAAUGGCUGGAUUUACUUAGGCUUGACUGUUUCUCAUCGAUGGUAGUUGGAGUUUUAAGGUUUAAGUUUGAGGUCUUGAUUGCUUUAAUGUCUCAUCGAUGGUAGUUGGUGUUUAUUGCUUUUAAGGUUUACAGAGUUUAUUGCUUUUAAGGUUUAGAGAGUUUUCUGACUUUGAUAGUUGGUGCUUAUGUCUCAUCAAUGCCUUCUUUCCAUUUUUCUGGUUUUUAAAACCCGAUCCUUCAUCUGCUUUUCACAACCUCUUCAUUCCUUUUGCCUACCUUUCUUCACAACCUUUUCAUUCCAUUUUUCUACAUUUCUUAACAACCUUUUCAUUCCAUUUUUCUACCUUUCUUCACAACCUUUUCAUUUCUUCACUAACAUUCAUGUCUUCGGCAUAUCCAUAUGCUCAACCCACUAACUUUGUGGACUUGUUGAAUAGUCAACAAGACACUCCCCUUACUGAUUCCUUUGCUUCACUCGAACCAUUUCCAAGCUUCAGCACGCAGACUACACCUCAAGAGCGAAAGGAGAGAGCUGCUUGGCACCCAAGCGACGAUGUGUUGCUGAUCAGUUCCUGGUUAAAUACCAGUAAAGAUUCUGUAGUUGGCAAUGAACAGAAGAGUGGUGCUUUCUGGCAGAGGGUAUCGGACUAUUAUGAUGGAAAUCCAAAUGCAGAGGGUCGUGUACCAAGAACAGCAAGCCAGUGCAAGCAGAGGUGGCACAAGAUCAAUGAUCUUGUGUGUAAGUUCUCUGGUGCAUAUGACUCUGCAACAAGGGAGUAGACCAGCGGCAUGAAGGAGAACGACGUCCUGAAGAUUGCUCACCAGAUUUUCUUCACAAACCACAAGAAGAAAUUUAACCUUGAAUACGCCUGGAAGGAACUGCGGAAUGACCAAAAGUGGUGUGAUUUUUCCACCACAAAAGGCAAUGAAGCGAGCAAAAAGAGAAGAACCGAUGUGAUGGAAACUGAAGCCAUGGAGACUGUCGAAAAUGAUGGUUCAUGCUCUCGGCCUAUAGGCGUGAAGGCUGCAAAAGCCAAAGGAAAAAAAUGUUCUACUGAAGUAAACAAUGUUGCUCAAGCUAUUGUAGACUUUCAAAAAGUGUUGGAUGUCAAAGAUAAGGAAUUAACAACAAGGGAGAGGCUUACUAGGAUGAGUGUUCUUGACAGAGUCCUUGCAAAAACAGAUGCUCUGAAUGAGGUGGAAGAAGCACUUAAGCAGAAGCUUCUUAAGGAGAUGUUGUCAACUUAGUCAUUAUGGUUUUUAUGUAUUACGUUUGGCUUUGUUUUGAUGUAUUAGGUUUGGCUUUGUUUAGAUGUAUUAGGUUUUGCUUCGUUUUGAUGUAUUAGGUUAAGAUGUUGCUAUGUAGUUUGAUUCUAUGUUAAGCGAUCUUUGUUUUGAAGUAUCUGGUUUUCUUUAUGUAGACCAUGUGUGAUUCUAUGAUAAACUUUCGGUUUUUUUUUCAUUAGCGUUUUGAUCUCAUCUGGUUCAUGGUUUGGUCAUGCAAAAGGUUUAGUUCUUAACUGAGGCAAAGUCUGUAAUCAAACGCGAGAUAUUCAUGGUUUGGUCAUGCAAAAGGUAACGUUCUUUGCUUGUCUUUGCUUGUUUCAGGUUUGACUAACAAGUGGGCAGAAGACAACAAUAGAAGUCACAUGUAUUCUGAAUGGGCAGAAGACAACAAUAGAAGUCACAAGAAUAGAAGUCACAAGAAUAGAAGUCACAAGAAAACAACAACACAUAGAAGAUAUUUGUUAUGAUUGUACAAUAUGGUGUAUUUUGAGACCACAUGUAUUCUGAUUUAUUUUGAGACCACAAAAUGCAAAGUAGACUCUUCUAUAUAUUAUUUGUAUAACAUUUUG